CUUACAUGUGUCGACAUGUGAAAUUGUGAACGGGAGUUUUCAUGACUGUGACAAUUCUUGAAGUUUUUGGAAUUUAGUACGUUAUUACCGAGAUGAUACGUGCUAUUUUAUGUAUGCUGCAAGACAGAAAGGAGCAAUGUUCGAAGUGAAAAGGCUAGCUUUCAUCGUUUCCCUCGAGAUCCCAAAAUGUGUAGGAAGUUGGUGAACAUCUGCCGAAGUGACCAUAGAAACACCAAAAAAACGCAAGUGUUCGGUUCAUUUUCAACAACGCGAGUCUGCAAGAAACCCCAGUCAUGCAUUGCUUAUCAAAUGCAAGGAAAUUGAAGGAUGAUGCCAAACCGAACCGACGUUUACUACCUCUUCGUGAUAGUGCCACCGUUGAUUGCCAAACCGUACCGAAGUACACCUCUGCGUGAUAGUGCCGCUGUUGAUUCAGUGAGUGCUAUUGACGUAAAAUGAUGGCAAUAUUACUGCGAGGUACCAAAGAGAGCAACAAUAUUCGACGUCCGAACUGCAAUUCAGAGUAAUAAGGGUCUCCGGGUUCUACGAUGGAAUCAACCGUCUAGCAGGGACAUCAAUUUCUCUUUUGAAAUAGAUUCAAAGCUAUGUAAGGAAAAGAGCGGAGAGAUGACGUCACAGAGGAAUUUAAUAUUGUAUCAACAUCAACAUGUACCGACGAAUUUUCAAGAAUUACAACACCAACAUUUACCCUGUACUGUCUCUGAUUACCCCGGCAUUUCGACUGGUGUAUUUUCUGUUCUUGUCAAAGUUUGGUCACUUGAUAGU